UUUUUUUUUUUUUUUUUUGGUACGCGGGCCUCUCACUGCUGUGCCCUCUCCCGUUGCGGAGCACAGGCUCCAGAGGCGCAUGCUCAGCGGCCGUGGCUCACGGGCCCAGCUGCUCCGCGGCAUGUGGGAUCUUCCCAAACCGGGGCACGAACCCACGUCCCCUGCAUCGGCAGGCUGACUCUCAACCACUGUGCCACCAGGGAAGCCCCGUAUACUUUUACACAACACACACGGAGGAAGGACCAUGUGAAAACAACAUGGAGAAGAUGGCCAUCUACAAGAAAAGGAGAGAGGUUCAGAAAAAUUAAACCCUGUUGACACCUUGAUCUUGGACUCCUAGCCUCCAGAACAUGCCUGAGAAGUGUAAAGUUCCAAGACAAGGGAAGAAGCCCUGUCAUCUGAAGCAUGCAGUUCAUCAGCUUCAUGGUAGAAAACAACUUCAGAGGUAUCAUCUUAAAGCACCAAGGAUGUAACUUUAUGAAAACCAAUUUCUUGACAUUCUUCCACACUUCCAACACUCCCACAUUUUAAAGAAAAAUAUGCCCUCCUGUGAAGCUGGCACUUUGAAAGUGCGGAACACAGAACUUCACCCUGGUCCCUUCCCUUUUUUCUCUUUGGUGAAUUAAUGAAUAUACCUGAGAAGAAUUUGUGUGUGUGUGGUGGGAGGUAACAGGGUAGGGAGAGAGGAAAUAAAAUAGAAUAAAGAGAAUUUGCUUUUAUUCUUCUGUUUGGUAUUUAGUUAAGACUUGAGUAAUUUGGGGGAGUUCUUUCAUUUUUCUGACUCAGAUCUCUCUUCAAAUUGCCAUAAUUCUUAGUUCUAUACUUGGAACAAUAUGAGUGCCCUCUGGUGGACAAAAUGUCAUUUUAAAGUUUUUGUGUAUAUGGACUGAACACUGUAAGUAUGGAGAAAAUAAGUCCAAUAUUUCAAAUGUCUUCGUUGAACUUCUGAAAACCCUAGAAAAUUAGUUCCUCAUGUUCUGGUGUGGUUACAGCUAGGAAAAUAGUUCGAUAAAAUAAAGGGAUAAAAGGCAAGUGGGGGUGGUGCUCCAGAUCCUAUUUGCUACCAAAAUAGUGUCUUGGAACUGUACAUAAUUUGGAUCCUUAACAGGGAACUCAAAUGUCUAAGGGAAGGCUAAUAACCCUACUUCUUGGCCAUCAAUGCAAAGAUCUGAAAUGCUCUCAUUAAGAAUGAGACACUAAUGAAACAACCUGGGUAUAAGCAAAGCCUCUAAAGAUCUAUAACUGUUGGCAUUUAGUGGUUAGAAUUCUUGAAAGAAAGAAAGAAAGGGAGAGAAAGAAAGAAAGAAGGAAAGAAAGAAGGAAAGAGAGAGAGAGAAAGGAAGGAAGGAAGGGAGAGAGGAAGGAGAGAGAGAGAAAAAGAAAGAAUGAGAGGAGGAUGAAAUAAAGAUCACAUGGGUUGUGUAACUCACACAUGCCAAACUAAUGCAAAGGACUACAUCAAUGCAGGUCUUUAGGGCUCAUAAAGCAUGUUUUCUCAUUGCUUAUUCAGAUACACUUUACCUUCUCUGUUGGAGGAUCACAUGUUAAAGGCUGAAGACAGACUCUCUGGUUCUUCUUUUGAAUCUCCCUCAAUUUUUGACUUAAUACAAAGGACAGCAAUCUGAUUUAAGAUUCACUAAGCUGAUAAAGCCCAAGGAUUAUGGGCAGUGGUACACUAGUAAAUGUUUAACAACUGUUUCUCCAGAAAAGAAAGCCCAGCUUUGUAACAUUUGCCAAUUUCCAUGGUGUAAACAGUCUCAUCAUGGUUGAUUUCAAGCUACCAACACAAUAUCACUGAACAUGUAACUGGGAAGAGACACAAACAAUUGACUUUCACAAACUGGUAUUAGGCAGCUCCAACCCACCACUACAUAGAGGACUUUUAAUUAAUUUUCCUGUAACUUUGACACUUUGAGCCAUGAAGCUAUAUUAGUUUUGUAAUAAGAAAAGAAAAACUCAAAUAAAAGUUAUUUGAAAAGUU